rnacentral:rRNA from 1 species
CCGGGUGGUUAUUGCAGGGGGACCACACCCGUUCCCAUCCCGAACACGGCCGUUAAGACCCCUAGCGCCGAUGGUACUGCGUCUUAAGGCGUGGGAGAGUAGGUCGCUGCCCGGUCUGCACGAUAGAUCCAAUAUCCUCCACAAAUAUCAAAA